ensembl:snoRNA
GGGACCAGUGAUGAGAUCCGGUGGCGUCUGAAUGUGUCUCGAUGACAGCCAUGUGAUCAGAUAUCUGAGGUCAGG